CCUACGGGAGGCUGCAGUGGGGAAUAUUGGACAAUGGGCGCAAGCCUGAUCCAGCAAUACCGCGUGUGUGAAGAAGGCCUUAGGGUUGUAAAGCACUUUCAAUGGGGAGGAAAACCUACCGGUCAAUACCCGGUAGCUUGACAUUACCUGUAGAAGAAGCACCGGCUUACUCCGUGCCAGCAGCCGCGGUAACACGGAGGGUGCAUGCGUUAAUCGGAAUGACUGGGCGCGAAUCGUUAGUAGGCGUGUCAAAGCCCCGGGCUUAACCUGGGAACUGCAUUUGAAACUGGCGGACUAGAGUUGAGUAGAGGGGAGUGGAAUGUCAGGUGUAGCGGUGAAAUGCGUAGAUAUCUGAAGGAACACCAGUGGCGAAGGCGACUCCCUGGACUCAAACUGACGCUGAGGUACGAAAGCGUGGGUAGCAAACAGGAUUAGAUACCCGUGUAGUC
rnacentral:rRNA from 1 species